AUUGAACGCUAGCGGCAGGCCUAACACAUGCAAGUCGAACGAGCGGCGGACGCGUGAGUAAUGUAUGGGGACUGCCCGAUAGAGGGGGAUAACUACUGGAAACAGUAUCUAAUACCGCAUACUAUCGGAUAACCCAGAUGGGAUUAGCUAGUAGGUGAGGUAAUGGUUCACCUAGGCGACGAUCCCUAGCUGGUCUGAGAGGAUGACCAGCCACACUGGGACUGAGACACGGCCCAGACUCCUACGGAGGCAGCAGUGGGGAAUAUUGCACAAUGGGCGCAAGCCUGAUGCAGCCAUGCCGCGUGUAUGAAGAAGGCCCUAGGGUUGUAAAGUACUUUCAGUCGGGAGGCGUUACCGACAGAAGAAGCACCGGCUAACUCCGUGCCAGCAGCCGCGGUAAUAC
rnacentral:rRNA from 1 species